rnacentral:rRNA from 1 species
GAUGGACGCUGGCGGCGUGCCUAAUACAUGCCAGUCGAGCGAACGGACGAGAAGCUUGCUUCUCUGAUGUUAGCGGCGGACGGGUGAGUAACACGUGGAUAACCUACCUAUAAGACUGGGAUAACUUCGGGAAACCGGAGCUAAUACCGGAUAAUAUUUUGAACCGCAUGGUUCAAAAGUGAAAGACGGUCUUGCUGUCACUUAUAGAUGGAUCCGCGCUGCAUUAGCUAGUUGGUAAGGUAACGGCUUACCAAGGCAACGAUGCAUAGCCGACCUGAGAGGGUGAUCGGCCACACUGGAACUGAGACACGGUCCAGACUCCUACGGGAGGCAGCAGUAGGGAAUCUUCCGCAAUGGGCGAAAGCCUGACGGAGCAACGCCGCGUGAGUGAUGAAGGUCUUCGGAUCGUAAAACUCUGUUAUUAGGGAAGAACAUAUGUGUAAGUAACUGUGCACAUCUUGACGGUACCUAAUCAGAAAGCCACGGCUAACUACGUG